AGAUUGAACGCUGGCGGCAGGCCUAACACAUGCAAGUCGAGCGGUAGAGAGGUGCUUGCACCUCUUGAGAGCGGCGGACGGGUGAGUAAUGCCUAGGAAUCUGCCUAGUGGUGGGGGAUAACGUUCGGAAACGGACGCUAAUACCGCAUACGUCCUACGGGAGAAAGCGGGGGACCUUCGGGCCUCGCGCCAUUAGAUGAGCCUAGGUCGGAUUAGCUAGUUGGUGAGGUAAUGGCUCACCAAGGCGACGAUCCGUAACUGGUCUGAGAGGAUGAUCAGUCACACUGGAACUGAGACACGGCCCAGACUCCUACGGGAGCAGCAGUGGGGAAUUUGGACAAUGGGGGAAACCCUGAUCCAGCCAUCCCGCGUGUGCGAUGAAGGCCUUGGGUGUAAGCACUUUGGCAGGG
rnacentral:rRNA from 1 species